CAGCCGCCACGGUAAAACGAAGGGGGCUAGCGUUGUUCGGAUUUACUGGGCGUAAAGCGCACGUAGGCGGACUUUUAAGUCAGGGGUGAAAUCCCGGGGCUCAACCCCGGAACUGCCUUUGAUACUGGAAGUCUUGAGUAUGGUAGAGGUGAGUGGAAUUCCGAGUGUAGAGGUGAAAUUCGUAGAUAUUCGGAGGAACACCAGUGGCGAAGGCGGCUCACUGGACCAUUACUGACGCUGAGGUGCGAAAGCGUGGGGAGCAAACAGGAUUAGAUACCCCUUAGUCCCUGUCUCUUAUACA
rnacentral:rRNA from 1 species